rnacentral:rRNA from 1 species
AUUGAACGCUGGCGGCAUGCUUUACACAUGCAAGUCGAACGGUAACAGGCCGCAAGGUGCCGACGAGUGGCGAACGGGUGAGUAAUGCAUCGGAACGUGCCCAGUCGUGGGGGAUAACGCAGCGAAAGCUGCGCUAAUACCGCAUACGAUCUAUGGAUGAAAGCGGGGGACCGUAAGGCCUCGCGCGAUUGGAGCGGCCGAUGUCAGAUUAGGUAGUUGGUGGGGUAAAGGCUCACCAAGCCAACGAUCUGUAGCUGGUCUGAGAGGACGACCAGCCACACUGGGACUGAGACACGGCCCAGACUCCUACGGGAGGCAGCAGUGGGGAAUUUUGGACAAUGGGCGCAAGCCUGAUCCAGCAAUGCCGCGUGCAGGAAGAAGGCCUUCGGGUUGUAAACUGCUUUUGUACGGAACGAAACGGUCCUGGUUAAUACCUGGGACUAAUGACGGUACCGUAAGAAUAAGCACCGGCUAACUACGUGCCAGCAGCCGCAGUAACAC